GGGGAGGGGCCGGGAGCUGCGCACGGCGGCGGCGGCGGUGGUGGUGGCGGCAGCCCCUUGGCAGCGGCCCGGCCGGCCCCGCCAUGGCCCUGCGGGCGCUGUGGCUCCUCAGGCACGACCCCGGGGCCGGCGGUGCCGUGCUCUUCUCCAGACGUUACCCCACCGUUGAAAUACGCGCCGAGACCUUCAAUGGGUCAACACAUGUGCCUGUACCGUCUGACAGCGCUUUUCUUAAAGCCUUGCUUUUUGAACUGAGACUCAUAGAUGACCAUAUUUUUGUGGAGCAUCGAGAUACUUGUACUCGCAUCAAUCAUUCAUCGGUAUAUUCAGUUCGCACCGAAGGAGGGGAUCUCUGGCCCGUGCUUGCUUUUCAGAAGAGUGGUCUGAUAUAUGCAUGUCUUCCACUAGUUGAGGAGACCCUGGAGCCACGGCCACCCCUCCUCACCGUUAGUGGGCUCUCGCAAGGACUGGCUCUUUUGUUAGGCAUUGUGGACUACAUCUCUCCAAGUCGGAAAAACGAAGCUGAGAUGAAUGCGAAAAUAGGCCAGCUUCGAAAUUUGCUUAUACAGGCCUGUCCACUUGGCACCCCCUUAAACACAAACAUACGCAGCUUAAACAGCUCGUUUGAUGACAUUCAGGAAAUGCCUACAGAUGAGAAUCAACCAGCUUGGAGAUCCAACACAUAUAAAGGCAAACCUCAGGUUAAUGUCUGUAUCACUGAAAAAGUCAAGUGUAUGCAGUAUGACAAAAGAGAUGUUAUGGACACGUGGCAAGUUUAUGGAGCUGUUAACUGCAAGUGUGACAUAGAGGGAUCUGCACCAAACGUAACCCUCACUUUGAAUCUCCCGACUAAUGGUCCUCCGCUCCAAGAUAUCGUGGUCCAUCAUUGUGUGACUUCCGUUGACCCUGCCAUGCUGAUGUCCAGUAGUGCCGAGCCACUGGAUGAUUCUGUGUAUAACGGACCUUACAAAUUUCCUUUCAUUCCUCCUUCAGUUUCAUUCAACUUGUGUUACUACACUUCCCAGGUUCCUGUCCCACCAAUUUUGGGAUGUUAUCAACUCAUUGAAGAGGGAUCACAGUUAAAAAUAACAGUCAAUUUAAAGCUCCAUGAGAGCGUGAAGAAUUCUUUUGAGUACUGUGAAGCUCAUAUACCUUUCUUCAACAGGGGCCCGAUCACUCAAUUAGAGUACAAAGUUAGUUAUGGCCAACUGGAUCUGUCACGAGAGAAGAGCCUACUGGUUUGGGUCAUCGAUGCUUUUUCUGGCUUUAGGACAGAAGUUCCCUAAAUCUUUGGAAGUUUCUCUGACUGGAAACGUGUCUUUUGGCACCGCAGGCAAAGAGCACCCAACUGAUUAUGUUUGCUCUGGGAACACUGCUUAUGUAAAACUGUGUUUUAGGAUCCCAGACUUUACACUUACUGGAUGUUACGUAGACCAGCAUUCUAUUCAGAUCUUUGUACCAGGAAAACCCAAAAUUACUGCAUCCCGGGAACUGAUUUCUUCCAAUUACUACAUCUGGAAUUCCAAAGCACCAGCACCCAUGGUGUACAAAACCUUAUUUGACUGAUUUGCUUGUGAAUGAUUUUUGUAUUUAAACAAAACAGACAGCUAAUGAGAGUAAUGUCAUGAUACAGUGACAAUAAAUAUUCUCUAGCACUUGUA